AUAGUGUGCCACUCCCUUGAUUCCUGGACCCAUGAAUCCUGGCUAUCAGAGAAUCAGCACCAUAUGUCUAAUGCUGAUUCAGAGCACAUACAGCCUCCUGGAGAACCUUGCCCCAGUCCUGGAACUGUGAAAUUUUCCUUAUAUGCAUGGUGAUCAUUGGCAAUAUGUGAUAAAGAACUACCUAGGUAUCCUCAGUGAUGGCAUCACAGACUCGAUGGACAUGAGUUUGAGCAAGCUCCGGGAGUUGGUGAUGGACAGGAAAGCCUGGCAUGCUGCAGUCCAUGGGGUCGCAAAGAGUCAGACACAACUGAGCGACAGAACUGAGAGUUGAAGUUGCAGGUAUUGCCCCUUGGAUCCAUCAUAUGAGGGUGAAGAGAGCAUACCACGCAGAUCCAGAAAACGCUGAGUGGACCGCACAGAGGGACCCCGCUGACCCUUGAGAGACUAAGAUCAUCCUUAAGAAGAAGGAAAAGACGAUCCCAGAGGAGCCCCUUGAGGAUGAAGCCUCAUAAUCAACUCCUGCUGCUUGGUCUCAUCAACGUGCACAUUCCUACGCCAACUUCCACAAUAGCUCCAACUGUUGGGUAUGUGGGGCUAUGCCUCUGUCUAUGAUGGAUGGACUUCCCUGGUGGCUGUCACCGCUCCACCAAGGAGAUUUUAAACCACUCUGCUCUUUUCUGGGACACAAUCAUAAUCUCUCCCUGCUCUCUGGGUGUAAGCCAGACCUACAGUCAAUAGACUUGGGUCAUAGGGUUAUAUUUGAUAUAAAUGCCAGUGUAACAAAAGCCUAACCUACAACAAGCUCCAAUAAAUCUACCUUAUUUACAUGCUAGGUGGACAAGACCUGUGUUUCAAUGGUAUGAGUAUAUUGUUGCCAUAUUCAUACCCUCUAUAGGGACAACAGAUAUUAUGAUUAAAGUAGAGGCCUGAUUAAUUUCACAAAACAGGCCCUCCUAGAUAGAACAAAGGCCAUCCAAGCCUUAAAUGAAGAGCAAAUCCAAAUGAGAAAAGUGGUAAUUCAAAAUAGAAUGGGUUUGGACAUACAGCUGCUCAAGGAGGGACCUGUGCGAUAAUUAAGGUUGAAUGUUGUGUAUGCAUUCCUUAUCUGGUAAUGUAUCACUGCUUUAGAUGACAUGAAAAACCAGGUAAAAGCACUGUCAAGUGAAAACAUUCCUUUCUGGACUUCGGUCCUAUCUUGGGUGAAGGGCGAUUGAUGGAAAACUAUAUUUACCAUUGUUAUAGUUGCCUUGAUAUUUCUGCUUUGUGGACCCUGAAUUUUACAAUGUAUUAUGAACUUUGUAACCCGAAGGUUGAUGUCAUUCUCCCAAAUUGGCGGUCGAAGAGCCAGGGUGCAAUAUAUCCUUAUGAAUGAUGCUCAUAAUAUGAGUUAAGAGCAUCAAGAGGGGGGAAUGAAGGAGGAAACAGACAGAGCUGGACUCCAUCUUAGGCCAGGCUGCGAACAACAGGCUACACGCAUGGUCACCCUCCCAGUGGACUCUGAACUUUGUGCCUGGUGUCUAUAGAAAUGGCAUCCCAAUGGAAAACCAGACCCCCGGAUAAAAGAGCCUCAGGACUUGGACUUGGACUCUCUGUUGCCUAAAAGAAUAUGCUAAUGCUAAUUAUCUCUGUAACAGAACAAAGUGGUAAAUUCCAUUAUGUUUAUCUGGAUACGACCACAGGCUUAUUGAUAAAUAUCCAGUGUUUAUCUAGUCUUGUGAUACAUGAAUCAUGGGUUAACUUUGAUCUUAUCUCUUUUUUACCUUGUCCAGGCUAGUUUCAAGGAAUUUGGGGAGGUGGGUUUGAGCAAGUACACUUAGGGUAUAUAAGGUUUUCACAAAAACUGGUCGGGGUCCUUGGCUAAGAGGAGACUCUGCCUUGGGCCUGCCGGUGUAAUAAACUGCACUCCACUA